rnacentral:rRNA from 1 species
GGGCCCGCACAAGCGGUGGAGCAUGUGGUUUAAUUCGAUGAUACGCGAGGAACCUUACCAGGGCUUAAAUGUACGUUGCAUAAAUCAGAGAUGGUUUUUUCUUCGGACUACGUACAAGGUGCUGCAUGGUUGUCGUCAGCUCGUGCCGUGAGGUGUCAGGUUAAGUCCUAUAACGAGCGCAACCCCUGUCGUUAGUUGCCAUCGAGUCAUGUCGGGAACUCUAACAAGACUGCCGGUGCAAACCGUGAGGAAGGUGGGGAUGACGUCAAAUCAUCACGGCCCUUACGUCCUGGGCUACACACGUGCUACAAUGGCCGGUACAGAGAGCAGCCACUACGCGAGUAGGCGCGAAUCUUCAAAGCCGGUCUCAGUUCGGAUCGGAGUCUGCAACUCGACUCCGUGAAGCUGGAAUC